GUAUUAGCUAGUUGGUAAGGUAACGGCUUACCAARGCMACGAUACSUAGCCGACCUGAGAGGGUGAUCGGCCACMCUGGAACUGAGACACGGUCCAGACUCCUACGGGAGGCSCAGUAGGGAAUCUUCCGCAAUGGGCGAAASCCUGACGGAGCAACGCCGCSUGAGUGAUGAAGGUCUUCGGAUCGUAAAACUCUGUUAUCAGGGAAGAACAAAUGUGUAAGUAACUGUGCACAUCUUGACSGUACCUGAUCAGAAAGCCACGGCUAACUACGUGCCAGCAGCCGCGGUAAUACGUAGGUGGCAAGCGUUAUCCGGAAUUAUUGGGCGUAAAGCGCGCGUAGGCGGUUUUUUAAGUCUGAUGUGAAAGCCCMCGGCUCAACCGUGGAGGGUCAUGGAAACUGGAAAACUUGAGUGCAGAAGAGGAAAGUGGAAUUCCAUGUGUAGCGGUGAAAUGCGCAGAGAUAUGGAGGAACACCAGUGGCGAAGGCGACUUUCUGGUCUGUAACUGACGCUGAUGUGCGAAAGCGUGGGGAUCAAACAGGAUUAGAUACCCUGGUAGUCCACGCCGUAAACGAUGAGUGCUAAGUGUUAGGGGGUUUCCGCCCCUUAGUGCUGCAGCUAACGCAUUAAGCACUCCGCCUGGGGAGUACGACCGCAAGGUUGAAACUCAAAGGAAUUGACGGGGACCCGCACAAGCGGUGGAGCAUGUGGUUUAAUUYGAAGCAACGCGAAGAACCUUACCAAAUCUUGACAUCCUUUGACCRCUCUAGAGAUAGAGUUUUCCCCUUCGGGGKACAAAGUGACAGGUGGUGCAUGGNUGUCGUCAGYUCGUGUSRUGAGAKGUKGGGUUAAGUCCCGCAACGAGYGCAACCYUWAAGSUUAGUUGYCAUCAUUAAKU
rnacentral:rRNA from 1 species